CAACGCAUAAGAUUAGAUAGGAAGCUUAGGGGGCAGUGAAUUUAUGUUAAUGGGGAAGGGACCACUCAGAAGAGGAGGAUGAAAAUGGUUAUCAACUCGAAUGUAAUCAGUGUCACUAAAUGGUGCAUGUAGAAACUGUUGAAUUGGUGUAUGUUGUGCUGUGUAUAUUCUCAACAACAAUAACAACAACAAAAAAUUAUAUUUAAAAAAAAAAAUUGUAUAUCUUGUUAACCAGCAAAUUUAAUCUUGAUCCAACAGGACUUGUUUUCUUCUCAAAAUGCAAGUAAGUCCAAAGGUGCAUCUCUCCUGCCCAGCAAACUCCCCACGUCAGUCUCGCUUUUUGAUGAUGAAGAUGAAGAGGAUAAUCUUUUUGGGGCUAAAGCUGCUAAAAAGCAGACAUCAUCUCUGCUAACUCCAAGUCAAGAGAAAACAAAGCUCACUGAGCCCUCCAAGAAGAAAGCAUCGGCCUUAUUGUUCAGCAGUGAUGAGGAGGACCAGUGGAGUAUUACUGAUUCACAGACCACUUCAGCAUUCGACAGCAGGUCUAAAGGCGAACUUAGGGACUCUGGGACUGCCCCGGACCCAGAAGCUAAGAAUACUGUGAAAAAGACUAGUCUCUUUGAAGAGGAUGAUGAAGAUGAUCUGUUUGCUAUUGCUAAAGACAGGUAAAGUGGUCAUUGCAAGAAACCCUUUAACAGUGUCUGUGGUAAGCAGUGACCAGUAUUUGGUGGGCAAGAUGUCAUUACUUUGG